rnacentral:rRNA from 1 species
AUGAGGCGAACCGGGGGAACUGAAACAUCUCAGUACCCCGAGGAAAAGAAAUCAACCGAGAUUCCCCCAGUAGCGGCGAGCGAACGGGGAGGAGCCCAGAACCUGAAUCAGUUUGUGUGUUAGUGGAAGCGUCUGGAAAGUCGCACAGUAAAGGGUGAUAGUCCCGUACACAAAAAUGCACAAGUUGUGAGUUCGAUGAGUAGGGCGGGACACGUGACAUCCUGUCUGAAUAUGGGGGGACCAUCCUCCAAGGCUAAAUACUCCUGACUGACCGAUAGUGAACCAGUACCGUGAGGGAAAGGCGAAAAGAACCCCGGCGAGGGGAGUGAAAUAGAACCUGAAACCGUGUACGUACAAGCAGUGGGAGCCUACUUGUUAGGUGACUGCGUACCUUUUGUAUAAUGGGUCAGCGACUUAUAUUCUGUAGCAAGGUUAACCGUAUAGGGGAGCCGCAGGGAAACCGAGUCUUAACUGGGCGUUAAGUUGCAGGGUAUAGACCCGAAACCCGGUGAUCUAGCCAUGGGCAGGUUGAAGGUUGGGUAACACUAACUGGAGGACCGAACCGACUAAUGUUGAAAAAUUAGCGGAUGACUUGUGGCUGGGGGUGAAAGGCCAAUCAAACCGGGAGAUAGCUGGUUCUCCCCGAAAGCUAUUUAGGUAGCGCCUCGUGAAUUCAUCUUCGGGGGUAGAGCACUGUUUCGGCUAGGGGGUCAUCCCGACUUACCAACCCGAUGCAAACUACGAAUACCGAAGAAUGUUAUCACGGGAGACACACGGCGGGUGCUAACGUUCGUCGUGAAGAGGGAAACAACCCAGACCGCCAGCUAAGGUCCCAAAGUCAUGGUUAAGUGGGAAACGAUGUGGGAAGGCACAGACAGCCAGGAUGUUGGCUUAGAAGCAGCCAUCAUUUAAAGAAAGCGUAAUAGCUCACUGGUCGAGUCGGCCUGCGCGGAAGAUGUAACGGGGCUAAACCAUGCACCGAAGCUGCGGCAGCGACACUCAGGUGUUGUUGGGUAGGGGAGCGUUCUGUAAGCCGUCGAAGGUGACCUGUGAGGGUUGCUGGAGGUAUCAGAAGUGCGAAUGCUGACAUAAGUAACGAUAAUGCGGGUGAAAAACCCGCACGCCGGAAGACCAAGGGUUCCUGUCCAACGUUAAUCGGGGCAGGGUGAGUCGACCCCUAAGGCGAGGCUGAAAAGCGUAGUCGAUGGGAAACAGGUUAAUAUUCCUGUACUCGGUGUUACUGCGAAGGGGGGACGGAGAAAGCUAGGUUAUCCGGGCGACGGUUGUCCCGGUUUAAGCGUGAAGGUGGAUGACUUUGGUAAAUCCGGGUCGUCAUUAACACUGAGGCGUGAUGACGAGUCACUACGGUGAUGAAGUAACCAAUGCUACGCUUCCAGGAAAAGCCUCUAAGCUCCAGGUAACAUCAAAUCGUACCCCAAACCGACACAGGUGGUCAGGUAGAGAAUACUCAGGCGCUUGAGAGAACUCGGGUGAAGGAACUAGGCAAAAUGGUGCCGUAACUUCGGGAGAAGGCACGCUGAUGGUAGGUGAAGUGACUUGCUCANGGAGCUGAAAUCAGUCGAAGAUACCAGCUGGCUGCAACUGUUUAAUAAAAACACAGCACUGUGCAAACACGAAAGUGGACGUAUACGGUGUGACGCCUGCCCGGUGCCGGAAGGUUAAUUGAUGGGGUCAGCCGCAAGGCGAAGCUCUUGAUCGAAGCCCCGGUAAACGGCGGCCGUAACUAUAACGGUCCUAAGGUAGCGAAAUUCCUUGUCGGGUAAGUUCCGACCUGCACGAAUGGCGUAAUGAUGGCCAGGCUGUCUCCACCCGAGACUCAGUGAAAUUGAACUCGCUGUGAAGAUGCAGUGUACCCGCGGCAAGACGGAAAGACCCCGUGAACCUUUACUAUAGCUUGACACUGAACCUUGAGCCUUGAUGUGUAGGAUAGGUGGGAGGCUUUGAAGCGUGGACGCCAGUCUGCGUGGAGCCAACCUUGAAAUACCACCCUUUAAUGUUUGAUGUUCUAACGUGGACCCGUAAUCCGGGUUGCGGACAGUGUCUGGUGGGUAGUUUGACUGGGGCGGUCUCCUCCCAAAGCGUAACGGAGGAGCACGAAGGUUAGCUAAUCCUGGUCGGACAUCAGGAGGUUAGUGCAAAGGCAUAAGCUAGCUUGACUGCGAGAGUGACAGCUCGAGCAGGUGCGAAAGCAGGUCUUAGUGAUCCGGUGGUUCUGAAUGGAAGGGCCAUCGCUCAACGGAUAAAAGGUACUCCGGGGAUAACAGGCUGAUACCGCCCAAGAGUUCAUAUCGACGGCGGUGUUUGGCACCUCGAUGUCGGCUCAUCACAUCCUGGGGCUGAAGUAGGUCCCAAGGGUAUGGCUGUUCGCCAUUUAAAGUGGUACGCGAGCUGGGUUUAGAACGUCGUGAGACAGUUCGGUCCCUAUCUGCCGUGGGCGUUGGAAGAUUGAGAGGGGUUGCUCCUAGUACGAGAGGACCGGAGUGAACGCACCACUGGUGUACGGGUUGUGAUGCCAAUUGCAUUGCCCGGUAGCUAAGUGCGGAAGAGAUAACCGCUGAAAGCAUCUAAGCGGGAAACUUGCCUCGAGAUGAGUCUUCCCUGG